GACUCGUCACACUAUCAUUAACUGAAUCCAUAGGUUAAUGAGGCGAACCGGGGGAACUGAAACAUCUAAGUACCCCGAGGAAAAGAAAUCAACCGAGAUUCCCCCAGUAGCGGCGAGCGAACGGGGAGGAGCCCAGAGCCUGAAUCAGCAUGUGUGUUAGUGGAAGCGUCUGGAAAGGCGCGCGAUACAGGGUGACAGCCCCGUACACAAAAGCGCAUGUGCUGUGAGCUCGAUGAGUAGGGCGGGACACGUGGUAUCCUGUCUGAAUAUGGGGGGACCAUCCUCCAAGGCUAAAUACUCCUGACUGACCGAUAGUGAACCAGUACCGUGAGGGAAAGGCGAAAAGAACCCCGGCGAGGGGAGUGAAAAAGAACCUGAAACCGUGUACGUACAAGCAGUGGGAGCCCCACCACUAAGCCAGUGGUGAACUCCACAUACGCAUCCUUUGCUGAGGAUACGGUUAACGGAGCGAAAGCGACGUUCAACCGCAAAAGAAGCAGAGGGGGCUUAGUGGUGGGGUGACUGCGUACCUUUUGUAUAAUGGGUCAGCGACUUAUAUUCUGUAGCAAGGUUAACCGAAUAGGGGAGCCGGAGGGAAACCGAGUCUUAAUUGGGCGUUAAGUUGCAGGGUAUAGACCCGAAACCCGGUGAUCUAGCCAUGGGCAGGUUGAAGGUUGGGUAACACUAACUGGAGGACCGAACCGACUAAUGUUGAAAAAUUAGCGGAUGACCUGUGGCUGGGGGUGAAAGGCCAAUCAAACCGGGAGAUAGCUGGUUCUCCCCGAAAGCUAUUUAGGUAGCGCCUCGUGAAUUCAUCUCCGGGGGUAGAGCACUGUUUCGGCUAGGGGGCCAUCCCGGCUUACCAACCCGAUGCAAACUGCGAAUACCGGAGAAUGUUAUCACGGGAGACACACGGCGGGUGCUAACGUCCGUCGUGAAGAGGGAAACAACCCAGACCGCCAGCUAAGGUCCCAAAGUCAUGGUUAAGUGGGAAACGAUGUGGGAAGGCCCAGACAGCCAGGAUGUUGGCUUAGAAGCAGCCAUCAUUUAAAGAAAGCGUAAUAGCUCACUGGUCGAGUCGGCCUGCGCGGAAGAUGUAACGGGGCUAAACCAUGCACCGAAGCUGCGGCAGCGAACGUAUCACCCAAGACAACUUUACGGAGUUGACGAUUGACGGAGCGAAGCGACGUCAAAGCGUUCAUUAAAGUCGAGUUGGCUUAGGGAUACGUUCGUUGGGUAGGGGAG
rnacentral:rRNA from 1 species